AAGUUUUCCUUUUCCCUUUACAAAACCCUAAGUUCAACCAUGGCCGCACACCUCUUUCCCCAUCGUUUAAUUUCCUUUUCAUUCUUCAUGUUUACAUCUUCUCUUUGAACAACCCUAACGGAGACUCUCCUAAUCCAGCAGAUCGAUUUUCAUCUGAUAUGUUUUUGACGGGUUAGGGUUUUUCAAUUCCCAUCAGUAGAGAAGAAGAUGAAGGUUAGUAUAUGCUUCUGAAUGUUUGAUUCUAAGCAUGGCCCUUCUUGAUUGCUGUAUCUCAUAUUGAUUUAAGGUAUCUACAGGUCUCUAACUUUCGAUUUAAAUAUCAAUUUUCCUCUAAUUUUUUCAGCAUCAAUCUCUUCGCAGGUGGGGGAUCACCCGGAUAUCAUGUUUUAGGUUAGGGUUUUUCAAAGUCUUGAUUAUUACAUGUUAAGUUGGCUAUUGUGGUUACAUCUUUGGUGAUUUUUUUCCUUAUUUUGAUAUAUGUAAUGCGUAAUCCUACUCAUUGAUGUCCUGAACGAUUAGGGUUUUACUUUCUCUCUUGAGUCGGUUGCUGCAAGAUGGUAAGCUGUUGUUUUCAUACGUUCUUUAUUUUCUCUUUAUUUUGGUAUUUUCAUUCUGCACUGUACAUCGCUUCAUUCUUCCUUCCACUCGAACUUGGAUUUCUCCAUUCAUCGCUGCAUCUUAUCUUUGGAUUUCAUCAGGGUUGUUGCUCACCAACACCUUUAAUUCCAUUGAUUGCCCUAUCGUGCAUAUUUGAUUUUAAUGUUUGUCUGUUUGACCUAAAUGAUGGAGGAAUUCUGAUUUAUCUAUCAAAAGGUAUGAAAUUUCGGAAGUGGAUCCGUGAAACAAAUUUUGCAGUUAUUCAACCAAAUACAAUGAACAAGUUUUGGUGUUAUUCACUUAUUCUUGAUGACUUCAGAAUGGAUUCCAUCUUGGACAUAUCUCAAAAUGAUUUCAUGUGGAUCACUUAGAGGUAACCCGUGACUUUGAAUGUUUGCUUGGGGGAAUAGUUCUAUGAUAGAGAGUUCUAUUUUAGAGUUGUGAGAUGCAAAUCACACACAUGAAUAAGCACUAUCUAGGGACAUGAUCAUCUAUCUCUGUUAUUUGGGUGGGUGAAAACUUAUCUGAGAUUGCACAUACACACUGGCAUGCGAUUUUUUAUUACUCUCAUAUAUCGGGGCAUGCGAUUGACCAUCGUGGUCGCCAUCGACAUAGUGCCAGAGCUUAGAGCUAGCACAGCCGAUCAGAGAAUCAACUUAUUGCUUUGGUGCAGAAGGUACAUAAUCCUUCUUUCAACACUAUUGUUUGAUUUAUUAUUAAUUCAAGUUUCACUAAAAACAUAACAAAAUAUAUUUCUUAAGAUGCUGUACUCUUAAGUUUUAAUUUAUUUUUUCCAGAGAAUAAAUUGGUAAUAUUUUAAUACGGGUUGGCCACUGAUAUUUUUUGUUUCAAUUUCUUUAAACAUAAAUAAUCAAUGUGUUGAACAUGGUUAAAUAACUUUAUUAUGAAAAAAAAACUAUUCUAACUUCUUUAGGCAAUAUGGUGUGCAGCCAAGCCUCUU